CAAUUCUUGUUAUCCAAAUCAAGUGAAUUAACACCUAAACAUUAGCCAGCAAACCAAACAAUUACUGAUUUCAAUCCAAAUUAAUAAAACCAAAUCUAGCUCACCCCUUUUUAUUAAAACAGUUCCCAUAUUAAACUAUCAACAUACAUCACCAAUGUAAAGUGACGGUUCAAGACUUCGAAACAAAAUAUAAUACAUCUGCCUACAAGUGAAAUUACUUGGUUCAACGGUCCAGUUACAACUUAGUUUCAAUUUUUAAUUACAAAACCAUAUGCAAAUUAAAGUUAAAUUACAUCAUUAUAAUAUCUAAACUAUUAGGCACCAUUACAUCAAUCCAAACAGGCAAAGAUUGAGAAUCAGAUGAAUAAGUAUCUCAUUGCAUUUCCUCUUCAAUUCGACAUCGGUACAUCAAGGGAUGUACAAAUACCUGGAAAUUAGAGAAAAAACCAAAAGGGUCAGAUCAGUUAGCAGCAGUCCAACAAACAGCUUGACGCGGCAGAAUAUUCAUUGAAUCAGUAUCCACAGAAAUCAAGUCCACGACCCAGCAAUAAACCAAGGAACUUGUAAACCCAACAGAAAAACCACAACCCAACAAGGACAAACCCAAAUCAAUUCAAAGCAAGUCCUAAACCAAGCUAGGAGGCAGAACUUCAAAGAAAAGCCAGAAUCCAAUCACACUUAAUGAAAUAAUGAAAUUUUUUGUGGUUUUCUAUUUCUGUAUGUAUUUUUUUGGAAUUUUGUGUAUUUAAAUGCAGAAACUAAUCUGAAACUGAAAAUGAAAGGAAAUUCAGAUAUUUUGUGAAAAUUGUUAGCUCUAAAGUUCAGACCCCCUUCACAAGGCAAUUAAUACCCUUUAUAUAGGAACAAAUAAGGGCAACACUCAGAUUUUCCUUUGCACCCGCAGCCCCUAAUCAUUUUCAACUUAAAACCUUUAUUCUAUGACUUGCUACUCAAGUUAAUACCACAAAUCUAUUGAAAACACACUAAUGUCCUAUUCUAGAAGCCUCCAAGAUGCUCUUUGAGCAAGACAAACCCUAAACUACCCUUCCCUUGUUUUAAAAUUACCAAACCCAGAGAUUCUACCCUUUCCUAUCCCCUAAAAUGCCCUUUAAACAGUAUGAAAAAUACAGACUAAACUAACUAAACCCAAUCUCUCACCUCAGCUAAACUUUAACUAAGUUUAAUUAAUCAAAUGACUUAUUCAGCAAUAAUCUAACCUUACACCUAACUGGAUCACAAAUAACAACUGAAAUUCAAUUAAACUAAAAUUAACUCGACUAACUAAAGUACUAUCCCAAUCCACCGAUAAUCAAAUCAUCUUUAAAAAAAUUGGAAACACUGUUGAACUAAAAUUCUAAACAAAAAUCAAUUCACAACAAGGCAGUUGAACCAACUAACACCUAAUUGGCGAAACUACUAAUUAACCAUUUAAGCACAAACAAGACAGAAAUCAAUAGAACUAAUAAAAACUGGAAUUUAAACUAAGAAUCAUCAUAAACACGUAUAACCCAUUACAAUACUCAAGGCUUUACUAACAAAUUAAAAGAUAGAAUUAUAUUGCAAACAAACAACUAAUUAGGAUAUUCGAAAAUUAAAAUUACACUUAGUUAUAAACAUGACGAACUAAAUCGAAUCCAAAAGAUGAGACACUAAAAUUAACUCGACUAACUAAAGUACUAUCCCAAUCCACCGAUAAUCAAAUCAUCUUUAAAAAAAUUGGAAACACUGUUGAACUAAAAUUCUAAACAAAAAUCAAUUCACAACAAGGCAGUUGAACCAACUAACACCUAAUUGGCGAAACUACUAAUUAACCAUUUAAGCACAAACAAGACAGAAAUCAAUAGAACUAAUAAAAAAUGGAAUUUAAACUAAGAAUCAUCCUAAACAUGUAUUACCCAUUACAAUACUCAAGGCUUUACUAACAAAUUAAAAGAUAGAAUUAUAUUGCAAACAAACAACCAAUUAAGAUAUUCGAAAAUUAAAAUUACAUUUAGUUAUAAACAUGACGAACUAAAUCGAAACCAAAGAUGAGAAAAAGACUUACUAAUUUUAACCUAAUAUUUAUUUGAUUCCGGAAGUGAAUCUUAAUUAAUAUUACAAGUUUAUCUUUGUCAAAAUAAACUUAUAAUAUUAAUAAAAAUCACCCGAGAAUGAGGCUUCAAAUGGCAGACACACUUGAAAACCCUAGAUCGGCAACUCGAGUCCGUCUGCUUGCAUUUGAAGUCUUUUGGCUUGUGAUUCGAGGUGAGGAAGCCAUGGGGACUAGGAGGUGUGAAUUUGAGCCAGUUUGGACGAGAUUGUGUUUUGACCGGACUUUUCGAAUUAGGAUUCGAGGACUUUGGUGAUGAUUCGAGGGAAAGUGGCUGGGGAUUCGAGAUGAGGGUAGUGAGGAGAGUCUACGGUGUAUUUUUGGUUAAGUUUGGCGGCUGGCGCCGCACCUGGUGGCCUGGGGGUGUCAUGCGGCGUGGCUAGGGUUUGUGAGGGGUGAGGAAGAUGAUGAGAAAUGGGGUGGGG
rnacentral:lncRNA from 1 species